rnacentral:rRNA from 1 species
CCUACGGGAGGCAGCAGUGGGGAAUAUUGCACAAUGGGGGAAACUCUGAUGCAGCAACGCCGCGUGGAGGAUGACACAUUUCGGUGCGUAAACUCCUUUUAUAUAGGAAGAUAAUGACGGUACUAUA